UACGUAGGGCGCAAGCGUUAUCCGGAAUUAUUGGGCGUAAAGAGCUUGUAGGCGGUCUGUCGCGUCUGCUGUGAAAAUCCGGGGCUCAACCCCGGACUUGCAGUGGGUACGGGCAGACUAGAGUGUGGUAGGGGAGACUGGAAUUCCUGGUGUAGCGGUGAAAUGCGCAGAUAUCAGGAGGAACACCGAUGGCGAAGGCAGGUCUCUGGGCCACUACUGACGCUGAGGAGCGAAAGCAUGGGGAGCGAACAGG
rnacentral:rRNA from 1 species